GAGAAAAUCUUCUGUACAUCCAGGUGACCCAGGAAACUCCAGGAAGCGGAAAACAGCCUCAGCCCUGGAGGUUCCUUGGACUCCCCAAGCAGCCCGACCCUGUGCCAACCCCUCCUUCUCCAACAGGAUGUUAUGAGGUAUUAUGAGGUGAAACCCGAGUGUGUGCAGCUCUCCCCAGCCUGCCAAGACACCCCAAGUGGCCCGUCCACCCAAAGUCACCCAUUCCUGGCCUUCACAUUGCUGCCUCCAGUGGCUGGAACAUUUGGGGCCAGGAUGUUUCAACGGGACCUGCUGAGGACUGGAGACACGGUGUGAACGAACCCCUUAGAUUUGCUGGGAAAUGCCAGAGAGCAAAUGGAGCUUCCCCCAGAGCCAUCUCCGAUGAACCAACACUACCAUGCCACAGCCCAACUGCCCUCCUACAAAAGCUCGUGAACAGAACCGGUCC